UACGGAGGGUGCAAGCGUUAUCCGGAUUCACUGGGUUUAAAGGGUGCGUAGGUGGGCAGGUAAGUCAGUGGUGAAAUCCCCGAGCUUAACUUGGGAACUGCCGUUGAUACUAUCUGUCUUGAAUAUCGCGGAGGUAAGCGGAAUAUGUCAUGUAGCGGUGAAAUGCUUAGAUAUGACAUAGAACACCGAUUGCGAAGGCAGCUUACUACACGAUCAUUGACACUAAGGCACGAAAGCGUGGGUAGCAAACAGG
rnacentral:rRNA from 1 species